GUUUUAGUGUUACCUCAUUUGGGGAAAUUUAAAAAAGAAGUAUGGGGGACGACUAUUGACAGUAUUCUCAUUUUUAGUAAAAGAAAGUGAGGAAAAGGAAGUGCUUCUGAAAACAAACCUUUCUGGACGGCAGAGCCCAAGUUUCAAGCUUUCCCUGUCCAGUGGAACGAAGACUAACCUCACCAGCCAGUCAUCUACAACAAAUCUGCCUGGUUCUCCGGGAUCACCUGGAUCCCCAGGAUCUCCAGGCUCUCCUGGAUCCGUACCUAAAAAUACAUCUCAGACGGCAGCUAUUACUACAAAGGGAGGCCUCGUGGGUCUGGUAGAUUAUCCUGAUGAUGAUGAAGAUGAUGAUGAGGAUGAAGAUAAGGAAGAUACGUUACCAUUGUCAAAGAAAGCAAAAUUUGAUUCAUAAUAAUGGCAACGGCCUAGGAUCAGUACCUGUUGAAAAAAACUGGUUCUCCACCCCUCCCCCAUACAAAAUCCACAACAAAGCGCAGUGGUCUCUUGUGAAUGACUGACACAGAUCAGCCUCUUACACUUGACUUCUGCUCAUCAAGUGCCAAUUCAAUGGAGCAGGAGGAGGGGAUAUCAUAUAUUUAGGGGAAAGACUUAAGCCUUUGAGCUCUCCAGCUUGGACCACACAUUGCCCUUUUCUCAGGGAAGGAAAUGGAAACAAAAAGCCAACAGGGCAGGGGUUUUGUAAGUGGAACUCUGGAUUGACUGGUCAGUUGCUACAAUCAGAAUAUGCUUUCUUGGACCAUGUUUGAGACUCAGAAGAAUGGGCCUUUCUGCCAUAAUUCUUCACUAGUCAAGAAUGCCAGCAGUUUCUUUGUAUAAAGAG
rnacentral:lncRNA from 1 species